GCGCCCUUAGCUCAGCUGGAUAGAGCACGUCCCUUCUAAGGAUGUGGUCAUAGGUUCGAAUCCUAUAGGGCGUGCCA
rnacentral:tRNA from 50 species